AGAUUGAACGCUAGCGGGAUGCUUUACACAUGCAAGUCGAACGGCAGCGCGGACUUCGGUCUGGCGGCGAGUGGCGAACGGGUGAGUAAUAUAUCGGAACGUGCCCAGUAGCGGGGGAUAACUACGCGAAAGCGUGGCUAAUACCGCAUACGCCCUACGGGGGAAAGGGGGGAUCGCAAGACCUCUCACUAUUGGAGCGGCCGAUAUCAGAUUAGCUAGUUGGUGAGGUAAAGGCUCACCAAGGCGGACGAUCUGUAGCUGGUUUGAGAGGACGACCAGCCACACUGGGACUGAGACACGGCCCAGACUCCUACGGGAGCAGCAGUGGGAAUUUGGACAAGUGGGGAAACCUGAUCCAGCCAUCCCGAGUGUGCGAUGAA
rnacentral:rRNA from 1 species